CCUUGUGCUCAUUUUGGUAACACAAAACUUUCACAAUCCUUAGAGUGGCUGAUGUUUUUCCUCUGCUAGGGUUUACUCCUAACCUUGAACCAUUGAGCUCAAUUACGUUUCCUAGCCUCAUCUCAGUAAUCUACCUUUGGAGUUUUGCGUUCCGCUGUUGGAGAUGCACCCCGCUCUUAGGCCUUUUCCAGAUGGGCGAGGUUCCCGCAGUCAACAAGGAAAUGGCAAUUCCGUUGCUUAGCCAUCUGGACUGGACUUUAUGUUUAUUUUUCUUCAUGGGUUUUCUUCAGGGCUAUGGCCCAUGUAUUGCUCUAUGUUUUACUAUUCUACUCUCAUUUUGUUAGACUUUUAUCUGGUUUCCGUUGGCAUCGUGGUGUGCCCAGUUUGUAGGGAUUGUGUUAAGGAC